AACGAACGCUGGCGGCAUGCCUAACACAUGCAAGUCGAACGAGACCUUCGGGUCUAGUGGCGCACGGGUGCGUAACGCGUGGGAACCUGCCCUUAGGUUCGGAAUAACUCCCCGAAAGGGGUGCUAAUACCGGUUAAUGUCUUCGGACCAAAGAUUUAUCGCCUUUGGAUGGGCCCGCGUUGGAUUAGCUAGUUGGUAGGGUAAAAGCCUACCAAGGCGACGAUCCAUAGCUGGUCUGAGAGGAUGAUCAGCCACACUGGGACUGAGACACGGCCCAGACUCCUACGGAAGGCAGCAGUGGGGAAUAUUGGACAAUGGGCGAAAGCCUGAUCAAGCAAUGCCGCGUGAGUGAUGAAGGCCGUAGGGUUGUAAAGCUCUUUUAGCCGGGAUGAUAAUGACAGUACCGGGAGAAUAAGCUCCGGCUAACUCCGUG
rnacentral:rRNA from 1 species